AAAUUGAAGAGUUUGAUCAUGGCUCAGAUUGAACGCUGGCGGCAGGCCUAACACAUGCAAGUCGAACGGUAACAGGAAGCAGCUUGCUGCUUCGCUGACGAGUGGCGGACGGGUGAGUAAUGUCUGGGAAACUGCCUGAUGGAGGGGGAUAACUACUGGAAACGGUGGCUAAUACCGCAUAACGUCGCAAGACCAAAGAGGGGGACCUUCGGGCCUCUUGCCAUCAGAUGUGCCCAGAUGGGAUUAGCUUGUUGGUGAGGUAACGGCUCACCAAGGCGACGAUCCCUAGCUGGUCUGAGAGGAUGACCAGCCACACUGGAACUGAGACACGGUCCAGACUCCUACGGGAGGCAGCAGUGGGGAAUAUUGCACAAUGGGCGCAAGCCUGAUGCAGCCAUGCCGCGUGUAUGAAGAAGGCCUUCGGGUUGUAAAGUACUUUCAGCGGGGAGGAAGGUGUUGUGGUUAAUAACCGCAGCAAUUGACGUUACCCGCAGAAGAAGCACCGGCUAACUCCGUGCCAGCAGCCGCGGUAAUACGGAGGGUGCAAGCGUUAAUCGGAAUUACUGGGCGUAAAGCGCACGCAGGCGGUCUGUCAAGUCGGAUGUGAAAUCCCCGGGCUCAACCUGGGAACUGCAUUCGAAACUGGCAGGCUUGAGUCUUGUAGAGGGGGGUAGAAUUCCAGGUGUAGCGGUGAAAUGCGUAGAGAUCUGGAGGAAUACCGGUGGCGAAGGCGGCCCCCUGGACAAAGACUGACGCUCAGGUGCGAAAGCGUGGGGAGCAAACAGGAUUAGAUACCCUGGUAGUCCACGCCGUAAACGAUGUCUACUUGGAGGUUGUGCCCUUGAGGCGUGGCUUCCGGAGCUAACGCGUUAAGUAGACCGCCUGGGGAGUACGGCCGCAAGGUUAAAACUCAAAUGAAUUGACGGGGGCCCGCACAAGCGGUGGAGCAUGUGGUUUAAUUCGAUGCAACGCGAAGAACCUUACCUGGUCUUGACAUCCACGGAAGUUUUCAGAGAUGAGAAUGUGCCUUCGGGAACCGUGAGACAGGUGCUGCAUGGCUGUCGUCAGCUCGUGUUGUGAAAUGUUGGGUUAAGUCCCGCAACGAGCGCAACCCUUAUCCUUUGUUGCCAGCGGUCCGGCCGGGAACUCAAAGGAGACUGCCAGUGAUAAACUGGAGGAAGGUGGGGAUGACGUCAAGUCAUCAUGGCCCUUACGACCAGGGCUACACACGUGCUACAAUGGCGCAUACAAAGAGAAGCGACCUCGCGAGAGCAAGCGGACCUCAUAAAGUGCGUCGUAGUCCGGAUUGGAGUCUGCAACUCGACUCCAUGAAGUCGGAAUCGCUAGUAAUCGUGGAUCAGAAUGCCACGGUGAAUACGUUCCCGGGCCUUGUACACACCGCCCGUCACACCAUGGGAGUGGGUUGCAAAAGAAGUAGGUAGCUUAACCUUCGGGAGGGCGCUUACCACUUUGUGAUUCAUGACUGGGGUGAAGUCGUAACAAGGUAACCGUAGGGGAACCUGCGGUUGGAUCACCUCCUUA
rnacentral:rRNA from 5 species